UGCGGUGUAAAAUGAGCGUGCGUCCUAUUAGCUAGUUGGCGAGGUAAUGGCUCACCAAGGCUACGAUGGGUAGGGGCUCUUAGUGGUAGGUCCCCCACACUGGCACUGAGAUACGGGCCAGACUCAUACGGGAGGCAGCAGUAGCGAAUAUUGGUCUAUGGGCGCAAGUCUGAACCAGCCAUGCCGCGUGCAGGAUGAAGGCUCUCUGAGUUGUAAACUGCUUUGUACAGGAGCAAAAGAAACCUCUUAGGGGUUUCUCGAGAGUACUGUAAGAAUAAGCACCGGCUAAUUCCGUGUCAGCAGCCGCAGUAAUACGGAAGGUGCAAGCCUGAUCCGGUUUAAUUAGGUUAAAAGGGUGCGUAGGCGGCUUAUUAAGUCAGUUGUGAAAUCCUAGUGCUUAACGCUAGAACAGCGGUUGAUACUAUUAGGCUUGAGUUAAGAAGAGGUA
rnacentral:rRNA from 1 species